rnacentral:rRNA from 1 species
AAAAUUUAAAACUCAAAGAACUUGGCGGUGUUUUAGACCACUCAGGGGAACCUGUCUCAUAAUCGAUAAUCCACGUUGUACCUGACCUUUUUUUGUAUUCAGUUUGUAUACCGUUGUCGUCAGGUAACUUUUUAGAAAUUAGAAGUUAGCAGCAGAAAUAAAAAUAAUUUAAUACGUCAAAUCAAGGUGCAGCUAAUGAAAAGGGGAGGAUGGGUUACAAUUAUAUAAUUUAUAAUAACGGAUAGGUAUAUGGAGUAUGUAUUAAUUAUAAGGCGGACUUGAAAGUAAAUUAGGUUAUAUAAAUAACUUGAAUGAGGCUCUGAAACGUGU